rnacentral:tRNA from 1 species
GAAUCCGUAGCUCAGUUGGUAGAGCACAUCCCUUUUAAGGAUGGGGUCCUGGGUUCGAGACCCAGCGGGUUCA